rnacentral:rRNA from 1 species
UACGUAGGUGGCAAGCGUUGUCCGGAUUUAUUGGGUUUAAAGGGUGCGUAGGCGGUCUAUUAAGUCAGUGCUGAAAUAUCCCGGCUUAACCGGGAGGGUGGCAUUGAUACUGAUGGACUUGAGUGCAGUCGAGGUAGGCGGAAUUGACGGUGUAGCGGUGAAAUGCUUAGAUAUCGUCAAGAACACCGAUAGUGAAGACAGCUUACUAGACUGUAACUGACGCUGAGGCACGAAAGUGUGGGGAGCAAACAGG